rnacentral:lncRNA from 1 species
CAAAAGUAAAUUCCUUUUUGUCACAUCAAGGUUUAUAUUAAUAUAAACACCCACUUAACUUUAAAUUAAACACAAAUUAAGCUAAUUAAACACAUUAAUAUAAUCCACACUUAAAUAAAUCAAACUAACCACCUAAUCACACUUAACAUAAACUAAGCACACCUAAAGCAUAAUUAACCCUCUAAGCGAGGUUUAGUGAGUUAAACUCACUGGAUUAGCGAGCCGAGCGAACCAAAACGACGAGGACGACGCGAGGAUCGACUUUCCUCAAAGCGGGCCGAGCAUCCGGGUUCGGGAAGGCGGCCAAAACGGGCCAAGAAGGGGCUGCCAUACCCAUUUUCUGCAGCUGCU